UAAGGACUAUAUAAACAAAACAAGCAACGGUUAAAGCUGUGGACAAAAAUCGAACCCAAAAUUCUAUCCUUUACUAACCGGAUUCAAUUUCUUCAUUUAUCAACGGUUGUUUGGGGCAAAAUUCAUAAUCCCCAUUGUUGCCCAAUCUCUGAAACGUCAUGGAAUUAGCAUUUGCCGCUUCAGUAUACCCAACAAAUGUGAAGAGAGUAAUCUACGAGAUAAGACCUCACAGCUCAAAACUCGUUACCAACAAGAGACGGUCUUUUCACAAGAAGUUUCUAUGCUCAGUAGCUGUUGCUCCUGACAGGAAUCGGGUAUCCGAGGUUGAGUUGGAAAACAAGAAACACAAUCUUCUCCUGGCUGUUCAAGACACACAACGGGGACUUGCUGCAACUGCUGAUCAACGCUCAAUUAUCGAGGAGGCUCUGGUGAGUGUAGAGGGAUACAACAUGGGUGCACCACUUGACAUGGCGGUGUUGGAUGGAACUUGGCGCCUGCAGUACACUUCUGCCCCGGAUGUUGUCGUUCUUUUGGAAGCUGCUGCAAGGCUUCCUUUCUUUCAGGUUGGGCAGAUCUUCCAGAAAUUUGAAUGCAGGGAUCAGCUCAGAGGAGGUGUUAUCCGAAAUGUUGUUCGAUGGAGUAUUCCGAAUUUGUUAGAGGAACAAGAAGGUGCCACUCUGGUUGUUUCUGCUAAGUUCGAUGUUGUUUCUGUGCGGAACAUCUAUCUUCAGUUUGAAGAGAUAAAAGUUCAAGAUAUAAACAUCAGUGAACAACUGCAAGCUCUGAUUGCUCCAGCACUCCUUCCACGGUCAUUUUUAAGUCUACAGCAGCUAAACAGUCCAAUUCAAGGAUCACUUGACGUCCUCCAAUUUUCCAAGCUUGAUCAAGACCACCAAGUGCGCCCCAUGGUUCAUACUCAUAAGUGUUACAAUACCCGAUAUUGCGAGCAAAACCCCACAACCACUUACCAGCAGAAUCCCGAAUAACCGCUCCUGAUGCCGCUGUUGCCAUGCCAUCUUUGAAUGCUCCAUCAAUAUUAAGCUUCCAUUUGUUGGAUGGGGGAGGCAGCCAGCCACUGAAUGUUUAAUGUUUAUGUGCAGAUUUUGCAGUUUCUCCGAACCUUCAGAGCUCAAGUUCCUGUAAGAAACCCUGGGACUGGAAGGAGAUCAGUAGGAGGACUUUAUUACCUUUCGUAUCUGGAUCAGAAUAUGCUGUUGGGCAGAGCUGUCGGCGGUGGCGGAGUAUUUGUG